UACGAAGGGGGCUAGCGUUGCUCGGAAUUACUGGGCGUAAAGCGCGCGUAGGCGGCUUUGUAAGUUUGACGUGAAAGCUCCCGGCUUAACUGGGAGAGGUCGUUGAAGACUGCAAGACUUGAGGAAAUGAGAGGGGUGUAGAAUUCCGGGUGGAGUGGUGAAAUGCGUAGAGAUCCGGAGGAACACCAGAGGCGAAGGCGGCCUACUGGGCUGCACCUGACGCUGAGCCGCGAAAGCCAGGGGAGCGAACGGG
rnacentral:rRNA from 1 species